rnacentral:rRNA from 1 species
UGGGGAAUAUUGGACAAUGGGCGAAAGCCUGAUCCAGCAAUGCCGCGUGAGUGAUGAAGGCCUUCGGGUUGUAAAGCUCUGUCGGGGGGGACGAAAAAGUGGAUUAACAAACCAUAUUGACGGUACCUCCAAAGGAAGCACCGGCUAACUCUGUGCCAGCAGCCGCGGUAAUACAGAGGGUGCAAGCGUUGUUCGGAAUUACUGGGCGUAAAGCGCGUGUAGGUGGCGAUGUAAGUCGGAUGUGAAAGCCCUCGGCUUAACCGAGGAAGUGCAUUCGAUACUGCGUUGCUUGAGUACCGGAGGGGAUGGCGGAAUUCCCGGUGUAGAGGUGAAAUUCGUAGAUAUCGGGAGGAACACCUGUGGCGAAGGCGGCCAUCUGGACGGUCACUGACACUGAGACGCGAAAGCGUGGGUAGCAAACAGGAUUAGAUACCCCCGUAGUCC